rnacentral:lncRNA from 1 species
CUCUCUCUUUCUCUCUCUCUCUCUCUCUCUCUCUCUCUCUCUCUCUCUCCCUCCCUCCCUCCCUCCCUCCCUGUACACCAGGCUUGCCUCAAAGUCAGAGACUCACCUGCUUCCUGAGUGCUGGGAUUUUUAAAUAAAUAAAUAAAUAAAUAAAUAAAUAAAUAAAUAAAUAAAUAAAUAAAUAAGCAAGCAAGCUCUGUGGAGGUUCUGGACUUCAAGAACUUACCCAAAUCUCAUUAUUGUGAGUGGCAGGGUCUGUCUGCUGGAGACACGGGUACCUCUGUCAGUGUUGGAAAGAUAUAGUAUAUAAAAUCACAAAGAACAGGGGUGUUUUCUUUUUGAUUAGACCCUGGUUUCCAAACCUAGCAGGUAGAAACAAUGGCCCUUCUCACCCACAGGCCCUGGCUUUGUUUUGUUUUUUUGUUUUUGUUUGUUUGUAUUUAAACCUCUCUUUAGUCAUCUCCCACAGCUGAGAUUUCAGCCAGCAGGACAGUCAGUCAGUGCACCAAUCCUGGGCCAGCCAGCAGGACAGUCAGUGCACCAGUCCUGGGCCAGCCAGCAGGACAGUCAGUGCACCAGUCCUGGGCCAGCCAGCAGGACAGUCAGUGCACCAGUCCUGGGCCAGCCAGCAGGACAGUCAGUGCACCAGUCCUGGGCCAGCCAGCAGGACAGUCAGUGCACCAGUCCUGGGCCAGCCAGCAGAACAGUCAGUGCACCAGUCCUGCUAGCCACGGUUCUGCAUUCCUGCUAUGUGUUUGCAUAGGUCCUUUAUCUAAGUGGACAUGUGCACUGCUUGUCCUUUUGUGAGUGCCUUCUUCCACUUAGCAUCGUGUCUUCAUUCUCUAUCCAUUUUGUAACACUUAUGGCGGCUACUUUUAUUUAAGAGGCAGAAUCAUAAUCCACCGUGCAAUAUUUCAUUUUAUUAAUGGAGUGUUUAUACUCCAUUUGUCCACUAAUAAACACUUCUGCAUUCAUGGGAUAUUCUUCUGAAGACAGUGGCUGGGAAAUGAUAUGCCUAUUCUGUGCCCAUACAGAGGUUACUAGCCGUAUCUGGCCCCUGUUCUUAUGAGAGCAUUCAGACAUGCAGACUCGGGGGUGCAGAGGAAGGAAGAAGAACACCUGCACGCUGAGGGGACCUCGGGAGACAGGCAACCUUCCAGCCUGUGAUCAUCAACAUCACAUCUCCAGAACCAUGAGAGAAUAUAUUUCUGUGGUGAAAGCGGCCCAGGUCUGCCAUAGCAAUUGGUACUGGGGAACUGAUUCUCAUCUGGGUACCUGUGCCCCCGUCUUUUCCAUUCCUUUAUAUUCCUGCCUCUUCUUUAUAAAUAAAAGGUGUGUGCGUUUGGAAC